rnacentral:rRNA from 1 species
GACGAACGCUGGCGGCGUGCUUAACACAUGCAAGUCGAACGGAAAGGCCCUGCUUUUGCGGGGUGCUCGAGUGGCGAACGGGUGAGUAACACGUGAGUAACCUGCCCCUGACUUUGGGAUAACUUCAGGAAACUGGGGCUAAUACCGGAUAGGAGCUCCUGCUGCAUGGUGGGGGUUGGAAAGUUUCGGCGGUUGGGGCUGGACUCGCGGCUUAUCAGCUUGUUGGUGGGGUAGUGGCUUACCAAGGCUUUGACGGGUAGCCGGCCUGAGAGGGUGACCGGCCACAAUGGGACUGAGAUACGGCCCAGACUCCUACGGGAGGCAGCAGGGGGGAAUAUUGCACAAUGGGCGGAAGCCUGAUGCAGCAACGCCGCGUGCGGGAUGACGGCCUUCGGGUUGUGAACCGCUUUCGCCUGUGACGAAGCGUGAGUGACGGUAAUGGGUAAAGAAGCACCGGCUAACUACGUG